rnacentral:rRNA from 1 species
GUGUGAUCCCGGCCACGGACGAACGCUAGCGGCGUGCCUGACACAUGCUAGUCGGGCGACCCCGAGCCGAUCGGGGAAGCGGCAAACAACUCAGUAACGCGUGGGCAACGUGCCCGGAAGCCGCGGAUAGCCCCGCCAAAAGCGGGGGUAAUCCGCGAUGUGGCACGUCGGGCGCAUGCCCGGCGUGCUAAAGUCCCCGGCCCCCCCGGGGGCGCUUUCGGAGCGGCCCGCGUCCUAUCAGGUAGCUGGUGGGGUAACGGCUCACCAGGCCGACGACGGGUAGGUGGUCUGGGAGGACGGCCAUCGAGGGGGGCACUGAGAUUAAGGGCCCCAUCCCCCAGGAUGGGGGGUCGAGCAGUGCGGAAUCUUCCCCAAUUCGCGAAAGCGAGAGGGAGCGACGCCGCGUGGGGGAGACAGCCUUCGGGUUGUAAACCCCUGUCGGAGGGGAAGAAGCCGGAGCGGUCGCGCCGCCGGUGGGUCCCCCCGGCGCGUGCCGCCCGCUCCGGUCGACGGUACCCUCAGAGGAAGCGCCGGCCAACGGGCGUGUCAGCAGCCGCGAGAACACGCCGGGCGCAAGCGUUGUCCGGUACCACUGGGCGUCAAGGGCAACCGAGGCGGCCCGGUCCGUCCGGCGUCAAAGCCCCGGGCUCAACCCGGGAACGGCGCCGGAAACCGCCGGGCUUGAGGGCGGUAGAGGGGAGUGGAAUUCCGGGUGGAGCGGUGAAAUGCGUCGAGAUCCGGAGGAACACCGAAGGCGAAGGCAGUUCCCUGGGCCGCCCCUGACGCUGAGGUGCGAAAGCCAGGGGAGCGAGCGGGAUUGGAGACCCCGUUAGUCCUGGCCCUAGAAGCUGGAGACUAGCCCUCGGGCCGCGCGCGGGCGGCGCGAUCGGCUCGGGGGCGCAGCUCACGCGACAAGUCUCCCGCCUGGGGAGUACGGCCGCAAGGCUGAAAUCCAACGGAAUUGGCGAGCGCCUGCACAAGCGGCGGAACACGGGGCUUAAUGGGACGGCUCCCCAGAACCUUACCAGGGCUUGACAUGCCGCCGCAUCCCUGCGGGAAACCGCAGCGGUGCCGCUCCGAGUCGGAGCGGCGAGGCGGCACCGGUGCAGCGUGGUCAUUGUCAGCCCGUACCGUGAGGCGUGGGGUUCACUCCCCGUAACGGGCGCAACCCUCACCCCGUGUUGCCAGCGGACGCUGCGGUCCCGGUCGGCGCUGGUUGAGCGCCGGUUCGGGCCGCGGCGCGCCGGGCACUCACGGGGAACCGCCGGGUAACCGGGAGGAAGGAGAGGGCGACUUUCGAUCCGUACGGCCCUCAUGCCCUGGGCCGCACCCGUGUUACAGUGGCCGGAGCAAAGCGUUCCCAACCCGCGAGGGGGAGGCAAUCGCAAAAUCCCGGUCGUGGUUCCGAUCGCAGGCUGCAACCCGCCUGCGUGAAGCCGGAGUCGCUAGUAACCGCCGGUCAGCCAUACGGCGGUGAAUCCGUUCCCAGGCGCCGUUCA